GAUGGACGCUGGCGGCGUGCCUAAUACAUGCAAGUCGAGCGAACAGACGAGGAGCUUGCUCCUUCGACGUUAGCGGCGGACGGGUGAGUAACACGUAGGUAACCUACCUAUAAGACUGGGAUAACUUCGGGAAACCGGAGCUAAUACCGGAUAAUAUUUCGAACCGCAUGGUUCGAUAGUGAAAGAUGGCUUUGCUAUCACUUAUAGAUGGACCUGCGCCGUAUUAGCUAGUUGGUAAGGUAACGGCUUACCAAGGCAACGAUACGUAGCCGACCUGAGAGGGUGAUCGGCCACACUGGAACUGAGACACGGUCCAGACUCCUACGGGAGGCAGCAGUAGGGAAUCUUCCGCAAUGGGCGAAAGCCUGACGGAGCAACGCCGCGUGAGUGAGGAAGGUCUUCGGAUCGUAAAACUCUGUUAUUAGGGAAGAACAAACGUGUAAGUAACUGUGCACGUCUUGACGGUACCUAAUCAGAAAGCCACGGCUAACUACGUG
rnacentral:rRNA from 1 species